rnacentral:lncRNA from 1 species
UUGAAAGCAUUCAAAAUUACAUUAUUUUCACUCUUACUGAUGAAAAAUGACCACCUCAUUGACCAUGAUAUCUCAAUAUAACAUGAAAGUCUGUUGGAAAAGAUCUCAAACAUGAUGUGAAAGUCUUGAGAAAUAAGUAAAAAACAUGCCUUAUUUUUCAUGUGAUUGGAGUUCGUUCAUGUAUUUUUUAACUCAUUUUCCUAAAUGUAUAGAGCUACUAAUAAUUCAUGUCUCCUCUACACAAAUUAUCCAUUAACCCUUGAGAAACUAAAUGCAAAUGAUCAUGAUGUCAUUUUGGCCACACAAGUUACAAUUAAUGAGACAUGGCGUAAUUAAUAAAAUCUUACUUAACCCACAUACUGAGGUACAUUUAGAUAAAUAACUGAGUAAAUAACAGCAAUGCUAGAGAUAGUUGAGUUUAUAGGUGUAAACUACGCCUCUCUUCUAUGAGCAGUAAAUCUUAUAGAUUUCAGUUAUUUUGUUCCGAGUUGUAAUUGCAAUUUAUAGUUGUGGUGCUGUAAGCAUUGGUUGUGCACUUAUUCAGUCCUUUACAGACAUCAGCACAUACAUUAAAUACUCGGUUUUGAUUGUUCUCUUAAUCCAUUUGUACUUUGAGGAUUUAAGUUUGGGAUCGCUACAUGGUUGUGUGUUGUUAUGCUCUUUUGUAGAAAGAAGGAAGCUCUGAUGUAAGAAAUGACAAGGCCGAUGGGUAGCAUUAGUGUGUGAGCAAUGCAGAACAGUCUUGAAUACAAAAUAGUCAGAUAUUCUGUUUGGAUGGUUCUUCAACAAUUCAUAUUGAUUCUGUGUGUCUGAAGCUAUAGUUUUGUGCCUGAUUUGCUGCAUUCACUUUGAUCAAUCUCUAUAGCUGUUCCUAGAUUGUUAGAACUGAGAAGUGGAGUGAUCAGACUAUUACCCUAUAAAACGGUUACAAUCUUAAAACGGUUACAAUCUAAAGAACAGAGUAAUUUGCAAUUUGAAAUUCUGAAGAAUUCUAAUGCCACUUUUUGUGGCUGUUGGUUUUUGCACUUUUGGUUCAUUGUUAGAAAAUCACUAAUGCCAUAGAUAAGAAAAUUGCAAAACAUUAAUUCUCCUCGUUCUGAUUCCACCAUUUGCUGAAGAAUUUUCAAAUAUUAUUUUUUGAGUUUAUUCCACAAUUUGCUUAGAUGUUGCUUCUUUUCCCUUUUGAUUCGGGGUACUUUUAAAAAUAACCUAGUCAAAUCAUCAAAAUUCCAUAUUGACUUUUCAAAACUUAAAUAUUAUCACUUUGGCCUAUUGAACAUUGAAAGACAAAAAUACCCUUAAUUA